rnacentral:misc_RNA from 1 species
AGAUUGUCUAAUCCACUUCCAAAUGAAUUGAAGAAACUUAGCGUACUUGCAAUAAUUGUGCAUCCAUACACUUUAGCUAGCUAAAUUAAAAUUAAGAUACAAUUGGGCAGCUUUUACACAAGUACAUCUAAUGCUACAUGGUUUAGUCCCUAUUAUGACAACAAUCUCUUUAUGCUUAGCUCUUAUUUCAAACUAAUAUAUUCAUGUCAAACAUGACUUCACCUCAGCUUUUUUCUCCAACAUCUUAAGUCGCAGAGAGGUAAGAGAACAUGGCAUGAUCCAGUGAAAAUGCUUCUGCAUCUUUCUUUGGUCCCUAUACCUAACAUGCAGUUGUUGUGAAUCUUGUGAUAAUAACAUCAAAGUACUAAGUACAAAAUUAGGAUCAAAAGUAGUCAAUAAUCUCAUGCAACAUGCUAGUUUCUAACAUAUCCAUUCAAAGACUUCACGACCAUGAGAUUAGCAUUUGUUUAUGCUAGCACAUGAAUUCAUAGUCAAUAGCCAAUAAUCAAAUAUAGUGCCAAAUUUUCUGAGACUUUUUUAUGCUGAAUAAUGUGACAUCCAUAGAGAUUCAAAGUGAUAACCCACAGAACUUAAUAUCUCAAUCUACAGCUGAUCACUACAAGUUGCAACCAAGUCUUUGAAAAUUAACGAAAUAUUUCCUAUCAAACCAAAAUUCCAUUUUCGAUUUUGGUCAGCUGGUUUCACUGCAAAGUUUGGUAUCCCAAAUCUUACAAAAUCAACAGAUUACAUCUAUAAGGCCAUCAUUGAAUGCUUCCACCGAAUCAUGUUCCAGGGCUGUGAUGUUGUAGACUAUGCCUUGCCAUUUUAAACACAUUUGGACGAAGUAGCAGCUCUCUCAGAAUUCAACCCUGUGCACUUGCCUUCAACAGUUUAUACACCAUUGGAGCAUCCUAAUCAUACAAAACCUAUACAAUGCAACAUGAUUAACACAUAUACAAACAUAGAAUUUAAUUGAUAUCAUUAGCUCAAUUACUUCAUUAAGCAUGAGGGGUCGAGCAUUUUUCCCCAUCUCAACAUGCUGAAUAUUGUUUUAUUAAUUCAUUUUCCCCCCUUCCUCCUCUGAAAGGACAGAUCCCCAACAGAAAAGCGUUUACAAAACUAUCACAUACCCAGAAUUAGAAUGAAUUUACUCAACAUUUUAUAUCAGAUUGCUUUAAUAAUAAUCAGAUUACCGAGCCCAAGAGUAUUAAUUCAAAACAGAUACCAUUAUCAAGCAAAAUUUGAAAUUCAAGAAUUGCAUUUUUCAUUACAUAUAGAUCUCUGAAUCAGUUUCUUCACUAGUACUCUUUCAUAUUCACUCUUUUGCCAAAUUGUUGAACCAUGAAGCUUAUGUGGGUCACUCUUGGGGAUUAUUAUUUUCAUUAUCGCUUUGAUCCAAUGUCCCAAACUUCUGCUUGAAGGAGUCCUG